GAGUUUGAUCAUGGCUCAGGACGAACGCUGGCGGCGCGCCUAACACAUGCAAGUCGAACGGAGUUAUUCUGAAUGAAGUUUUCGGAUGGAUUUUGGAUUAACUUAGUGGCGAACGGGUGAGUAACGCGUGAGUAACCUGCCCUGGAGUGGGGACAACAGUUGGAAACGACUGCUAAUACCGCAUAAGCCCACGGUGCCGCAUGGCACAGCGGGAAAAGGAUUUAUUCGCUUCAGGAUGGACUCGCGUCCAAUUAGCUAGUUGGUGAGGUAACGGCCACCAAGGCGACGAUUGGUAGCCGGACUGAGAGGUUGAACGGCCACAUUGGGACUGAGACACGGCCCAGACUCCUACGGGAGGCAGCAGUGGGGGAUAUUGCACAAUGGGCGAAAGCCUGAUGCAGCAACGCCGCGUGAGGGAAGACGGUUUUCGGAUUGUAAACCUCUGUUCUAAGUGACGAAGAAUGACGGUAGCUUAGGA
rnacentral:rRNA from 1 species